rnacentral:rRNA from 1 species
UACGUAGGGUGCAAGCGUUGUCCGGAAUUAUUGGGCGUAAAGAGCUCGUAGGCGGUUCGUCGCGUCGGCUGUGAAAACCCGGAGCUCAACUCCGGGCCUGCAGUCGAUACGGGCGGACUUGAGUGUUGCAGGGGAGACUGGAAUUCCUGGUGUAGCGGUGAAAUGCGCAGAUAUCAGGAGGAACACCGGUGGCGAAGGCGGGUCUCUGGGCAACUACUGACGCUGAGGAGCGAAAGCGUGGGGAGCGAACAGGA